rnacentral:rRNA from 1 species
UACGGAGGGUGCAAACGUUGCUCGGAAUCAUUGGGCGUAAAGCGCACGUAGGCGGCCUGUUAAGUCGGGUGUGAAAGCCCUCGGCUCAACCGAGGAAGUGCAUUCGAAACUGGCAGGCUUGAGUAUGGAAGAGGGUCGCGGAAUUCCCGGUGUAGAGGUGAAAUUCGCAGAUAUCAGGAAGAACACCCGUGGCGAAGGCGGCUCUCUGGGACGGUACUGACGCUGAGACGCGAAAGCGUGGGGAGCGAACAGG